CCGGGGUUGGCAGAGUGGUCAAUUGCACCUGACUGUAAAUCAGGCGCCCUCAGGGCUACGGAGGUUCGAAUCCUUCACCCCGGA
rnacentral:tRNA from 1 species